rnacentral:SRP_RNA from 1 species
GAGCGAGGACUGUCUCAUACCCGGGAACCAGGUCAGGCGCGGAAGCGAGCAGCCCGACCGGGGACGCUGGAUGCCUUGGGAUAG